CUCCGUUAGAGAUUAUAUGAGAAUUAAGCUAGUAACUUCACCCAAUCUCGCUGAUGGGCACUAAUAUAGUGUCUCAAGUAGAGCUCUAGCAGCGUGUUCACCCCGUUCAGUCUAGCCAUUGCUCUACAAAUAGAAUCUAGUUGAGAAAUUCAAUUAUAUUCCAAAUAACUUGAGCAAUUCUAGCCAAAAUAUCCAUGUGAAACACUAGUCUCUGUCGUUAAUGAUGCU
rnacentral:lncRNA from 1 species